rnacentral:rRNA from 1 species
GGGUGCGAUCAUACCAGCACUAAUGCACCGGAUCCCAUCAGAACUCCGAAGUUAAGCGUGCUUGGGCGAGAGUAGUACUAGGAUGGGUGACCUCCUGGGAAGUCCUCAUGUUGCACCCA